CAGCAGACACAUUCCAGCCAAUCAGCAGCAGACCCUCCCUCCCAGAGCCUCCCACCUCCUGGACAGCAUCCAUUUUACAUUCAUUGUGCAUUCUUAGUGAGCUGUCCAGGAGGUGGGAGGGUCUGGGAGGGAGGGUCUGCUGCUGAUUGGCUGGAAUGUGUCUGCUG
rnacentral:miRNA from 1 species